rnacentral:rRNA from 1 species
AUUGAACGCUGGCGGCAGGCCUAACACAUGCAAGUCGAGCGGAUGACGGGAGCUUGCUCCUCGAUUCAGCGGCGGACGGGUGAGUAAUACCUAGGAAUCUGCCUGAUAGUGGGGGACAACGUUUCGAAAGGAACGCUAAUACCGCAUACGUCCUACGGGAGAAAGCAGGGGACCUUCGGGCCUUGCGCUAUCAGAUGAGCCUAGGUCGGAUUAGCUAGUUGGUGAGGUAAUGGCUCACCAAGGCGACGAUCCGUAACUGGUCUGAGAGGAUGAUCAGUCACACUGGAACUGGGACACGGUCCAGACUCCUACGGGAGGAAGCAGUGGGGAAUAUUGGACAAUGGGCGAAAGCCUGAUCCAGCCAUGCCGCGUGUGUGAAGAAGGUCUUCGGAUUGUAAAGCACUUUAAGUUGGGAGGAAGGGCAGUAAGCUAAUACCUUGCUGUUUUGACGUUACCGACAGAAUAAGCACCGGCUAACUCUGUGCCAGCAGCCGCCGUAAUAC